rnacentral:rRNA from 1 species
AUUGAACGCUGGCGGCAGGCCUAACACAUGCAAGUCGAGCGGAUGAAGGGAGCUUGCUCCUGGAUUCAGCGGCGGACGGGUGAGUAAUGCCUAGGAAUCUGCCUGGUAGUGGGGGAUAACGUCCGGAAACGGGCGCUAAUACCGCAUACGUCCUGAUGGAGAAAGUGGGGGAUCUUCGGACCUCACGCUUUCAUAUGAGCCUAGGUCGGAUUAGCUAGUUGGUGGGGUAAAGGCCUACCAAGGCGACGAUCCGUAACUGGUCUGAGAGGAUGAUCAGUCACACUGGAACUGAGACACGGUCCAGACUCCUACGGGAGGCAGCAGUGGGGAAUAUUGGACAAUGGGCGAAAGCCUGAUCCAGCCAUGCGGCGUGUGUGAAGAAGGUCUUCGGAUUGUAAAGCACUUUAAGUUGGGGGGAAGGGCAGUAAGUUAAUACCUUGCUGUUUUGACGUUACCAACAGAAUAAGCACCGGCUAACUUCGUG